rnacentral:tRNA from 1 species
ACUUAAAUAGUUUAUGAAAAAAUUUUGAUUUGUGGUGUCAAGGAUAUGGAUUUUAUUCAUUUUAGGUC